rnacentral:rRNA from 1 species
GCUUACGGCCACACCGGCCUGAGUACGCCUGAUCGUCCGAUCUCGGAAGCUAAGCAGGGUCGGGCCUGGUUAGUACUUGGAUGGGAGACCGCCUGGGAAUACCAGGUGCUGUAAGCU